rnacentral:rRNA from 1 species
UGCCCAGUGGCGGACGGGUGAGUAACGCGUGGGUAACCUGCCCUGUACAGGGGGACAACAGCCGGAAACGGCUGCUAAUACCGCAUAAGCCCGCGGCGCCGCAUGGCGCUGCGGGGAAAACUCCGGUGGUACGGGAUGGGCCCGCGUCUGAUUAGCUAGUUGGCGGGGUAACGGCCCACCAAGGCAGCGAUCAGUAGCCGGCUUGAGAGAGUGGACGGCCACAUUGGGACUGAGACACGGCCCAGACUCCUACGGGAGGCAGCAG